UGCAUUGUUGAAUCUUUGCUGCAUUAAUCGUGUCGAGUUGCUGGAUUAGAUUGGAUCAUUUUUCAGAUUUUUUCUACUAGAUCGAACUUGCUUUUGGUUUUCUUGUUCUUCGUGUGACGCAGGUUUCCUUCAUCAAUCUUCCGCCGCCAAACUUCCUGCCACACCACCGCCAUAAUCUUCCGCCGCCACCAUAUCUUCCACCGAGUCCCUCUUCGAGUCCUACACCGAGUCCCUCUUCAAGUCCUACACCGAGUCCUUCUUCCAGUCCUACACCGAGUCCCUCUUCGAGUCCUACAUCGAGUCGGGAAGUUAUAGUUUUCAGCCGCGAGUUCGAGUCCGAGUCCAAUCAAGAGUGCUUUUGGAAAGUGUUUCAUAAUAGAUCGAAUUUUGUUUAAAGAUCAUGUUGUUCGGAAAGUUGUGAAAAAAAAAGAAGGGAAAGAAAAAAAAAGGAAGAAAGAAAGAAAAAAAAAGGAAAAAAAAAAGAGAAAGAGUUCGAG
rnacentral:lncRNA from 1 species